AGCAGCCGCGGUAAUUCCAGCUCCAAUAGCGUAUAUUAAAGUUGUUGCAGUUAAAAAGCUCGUAGUUGAAUUUCGGGAUCAAAGAAUCGGUCAUGCCUUGGUAUGUACUGGUUUUAUUGGUUCUCACCUUCUAAAGAACCAUGAUGUCAUUCAUUUGAUGUUAUGGGGAAUUAGGACUGUUACCUUGAAAAAUUAGAGUGUUUAAAGCAAGCUUACGCUUGAAUACAUUAGCAUGGAAUAAUGAAAUAGGACAUCAGAUUCUAUUUUGUUGGUUUCUAGGAUCGAUGUAAUGAUUAAUAGGGAUAGUUGGGGGCAUUAGUAUUCAAUUGUCAGAGGUGAAAUUCUUGGAUUUAUUGAAGACUAACUACUGCGAAAGCAUUUGCCAAGGAUGUUUUCAUUAAUCAAGAACGAAAGUUAGGGGAUCGAAGACGAUCAGAUACCGUCGUAGUCUUAACCAUAAACUAU
rnacentral:misc_RNA from 1 species